UAUUGGGCACUGGGCGCAAGCCUGACCCAGCAACGCCGCGUGAAGGAAGAAGGCUUUCGGGUUGUAAACUUCUUUUAAGAGGGACGAAGAAAGUGACGGUACCUCUUGAAUAAGCCACGGCUAACUACGUGCAAGCAGCCGCGGUAAUACGUAGGUGGCAAGCGUUAUCCGGAUUUAUUGGGUGUAAAGGGAGAGUAGGCGGGACUGCAAGUCAGAUGUGAAAACUAUGGGCUCAACCCAUAGCCUGCAUUUGAAACUGUAUUUCUUGAGUGCUGGAGAGGCAAUCGGAAUUCCGUGUGUAGCGGUGAAAUGCGUAGAUAUACGGAGGAACACCAGUGGCGAAGGCGGAUUGCUGGACAGUAACUGACGCUGAGGCGCGAAAGCGUGGGGAGCAAACAG
rnacentral:rRNA from 1 species